rnacentral:lncRNA from 1 species
UAAUGUACCCAGUGUAUACGCCACUCUAGUUAAUACCGUACACGGUGUGACCUCUCUCUCUCUCUUCUAACAGUUAUAAUAGACCUGUACCACGGUGUGAACUCUCUAACAGUUAUAAUAGACCUGUACCACGUUGUGACCUCUCUCUCUCUCUCUAACAGUUAUAAUAGAACUGUACCACGCUGUUUGACCUCUCUCUGCAUCUAUCUACUAACGUCACCAGGUUGUCCUCUACGUUAAUAAUA